GUGCUCACUUCAGCAGCACAUUUACUCAAAUUGGAAGGAUUCAGAGAUCAGCAUGGCCCCUGUUCAAGGACUAUACACAAAUUUUUUUUUUUUU
rnacentral:snRNA from 1 species